UACGUAGGGGGCUAGCGUUGUCCGGAAUCAUUGGGCGUAAAGAGCGUGUAGGCGGCUUGGUAAGUCCGCUGUGAAAGUCCAGGGCUCAACCCUGGAAAGCCAGUGGAAACUGUCAAGCUAGAGUCCGGAAGAGGCGAGUGGAACUCCUGGUGUAGCGGUGAAAUGCGCAGAUAUCAGGAAGAACACCAAUGGCGAAGGCAGCUCGCUGGGACGGUACUGACGCUGAGACGCGAAAGCGUGGGGGAGCAAACAGG
rnacentral:rRNA from 1 species